UACGAAGGGGGGCUAGCGUUGCUCGGAAUGACUGGGCGUAAAGGGCGCGUAGGCGGACAGUUAAGUUGGGGGUGAAAGCCCGGGGCUCAACCUCGGAAUUGCCUUCAAUACUGGCUGUCUUGAGUGUGAGAGAGGUGUGUGGAACUCCGAGUGUAGAGGUGAAAAUUCGUAGAUAUUCGGAAGAACACCAGUGGCGAAGGCGACACACUGGCUCACUACUGACGCUGAGGCGCGAAAGCGUGGGGAGCAAACAGG
rnacentral:rRNA from 1 species